rnacentral:miRNA from 1 species
CUCUACAUCAAUCUGCCUUAC